UGGACAACUCGGCUAUCUCACCGAAUUCCCCAGGGAAAAUGGGCUGCUGCUGCUGCGAGGAGGUAGAAGACUACGAAGCAGUUGCCCCACCGGACCUCCGCCGGCCCCUCAAUCCCGGCCACCACCACGGGCCCGAAGCUCAACCGUCUACCGAUCUAGUUAUCUCACCAAUGAAUUCUAACUUCUCGGCUCUAUUAUGCAAGGACACUCUCCGCGCCAUAUUGGAGAAACUGUCACUCGCCGACCUGGCCCGUUCGGCUUGCGUUUGCAAGCUCUGGUACUCCGUGGCCGCUGAUAGGGAUAUGCAGAUCAAGGCUUUUAUUUCCCCCUGGAAACUCCGGGAUGUUGUUGGAAACCCUACCUCGGCUGGCUUCUGGAGAGACAAUUCGCUUUCCAAAUUUGCCAUUUCGCAUCGCCUGUCGCGUGGGGACUCAGUCGCCAGCCUCGCUGUCAAAUAUUCCGUUCAGGUUAUGGAUAUAAAACGCUUAAAUAACAUGAUGAGUGAGCAUGGGAUAUACUCGAGGGAGAGGCUGCUGAUUCCGGUGAGGCAACCAGAUAUCCUCAUUAAUUCAGUAUGCUACAUAGAGCUUGAUAUCCAUGCAAAGAGGGAAGUUGCUGUACUGUAUCUUGAAGGUGGUCCUGAAAGAAAUCUCAACGCUCUUUUGAAUAGGCUGACCAUUGAACGGGCCAAAAGAAAGGUGAUUGACUCCUUGAAGAGGAGCAUGCACUUUGAUGAUGGAACUGCACAGUACUACUUGUCUAUCUCAGACGGUGAUCCUCGAGCUGCGCUGACACAAUUUUCCGAAGAUCUGAGUUGGGAGAGGCAGGUGCGGCAGGCUUAAGUUGAUGCCACAAUUCGAUAUGCUUGGAAUUCACAAGAACCAGUUGACUAUGGACGCGUUUUGGCCCCUUAUCCUGCCAAAUUUAUGUGGAUGGAACUUGCUCAGUAUUGGGAAGGCAGCAUCAUGAAGACAUCCUCCACCUAGCAUAUGCUUAUGCUAUGCUAUUCGAGGAGUGUAAAUAGUGGGUUAAACUGCUUGCACAGGCCCCUGCCCCCAAUAGGGGGGCUGCCACGCAGGGGCCUGUCCCCAUGGUGUAACACGUAAAUGAUACAUGCAACCUCUUUGGAAGCUUACUCGUCUUUCACGGUUAUUAGAUAUGACCAAAAGAGAGUAAAAUUGGAAUAUUUUUACUUUCAAGGAAACAUUUUAGUUUUAUUUGA